rnacentral:lncRNA from 1 species
AAAAUGGUUAUUUAUAUCCGUCUCCUUUUAAUUUAAAAAUCUGACUGUCCAUCGUGUUUGAUCUGAACUGUCCGAAUGCGUUUAAAUAGGAAAUGGAUCUAGACUGUUCAUUGCGAUUUGAUCUGUGCCGUCCGAUCGCGUUUUAAAGGGAGAACGGAUCCAGACCGUCCGUGCGCGCAUGAAUAAAUUCAAAUUGUCUAAUCACGGGUACGUGGAUCGCCAACGUAGCCUCCUGCGUGUAGCGCCCGGGGAAAUUGAAGAAGGAAAAAAAAAUGUGCAUGCCACGUCAGCAGCCACGUCAGCAGACCUAGUCAGCAGGCCUGGCCAACCAGGACCUGCCACGUGGCAAACCAC